rnacentral:misc_RNA from 1 species
UGGGUUCUGAACUCGAGAGAAUCAAAACAACUUUUAGUGGCGAAAUAAAUUCUCCACUAAUAAUCAAAAUUUUCCCACUAAAAAUUAUAUUAAUGGGAAAAAAAUCACUAGCAAUAUCUGCUCCGCAAAAAAAAAAAAUUAAAAUUUGUAACAAAUUUUUCAUACCAAUUUGCAUUUAAUCUUGAUAUUAUAAAUUGUAAUGAACUUGUACAAAUUAAUGUCAUGAAAAUAUUAAAUUCUCUAUACUAUUGAGAAAAAUAAUUUAUAUACAUAUAUUUGAUGGUUUUCUAAUUCCACAUUCCACAAUAAAUGGAUUAAACAUCAAAUUCUCAGAAAUUGAAUGGGUAAGGGAUGCUUGAGAUAAUGAACAAAAGGAGAAAGAAUUGAAAGGAUGAUUAGUCCCAUCAUCUUCUUGGUAGUUGAAUGUAUGAUAGGCAUCAAUAAGCCGCUCUGCUUUAAGUCCUGAAUCUGAUAGAAUGCAGCAGAAAGCUUUCCCUGCAUAACUGAAAUGGUGUGAAUGUCAUACUCUAGCUUGAUAAUAAUUAUAAAUCUUGGCAUCAUGAUUUUCCAAAGUCGCUUUCUUGUAAAUUUGUGCCGGGUUAACACAUUCACCAUAAAGGUAUUCAGAUGUAAGCAUCUCUAAAACACACCUACCAAAUUGAGUAAACAUCAACAAGCUUAUUGUAAUCCCAUUCGUAUAAUUCUGGUGCCAUGAAUUCUAGGGUGCCUAACAAAUGCUACUGCAAGUUAAGAAAUAAUAUAAUUAGCUAAAAUGGACAUAAUCGUUUAGGUGUUUCAAUGAGAGUAAUUAACAAGUACCUAUGACAUUAUGUGCUGAUUGAGAACCCUGUUGGAUUGCUGCAAGGCCAUCGACAAAAAUCAUUUUCCAAUUAUUCCAAGAAUUUAUAAUGCACAAAAAAAGAAAGUGAAAGUGAAAGUCAGAGUUUGUCAAUCAAGUGGAUAAAGAAAUUCAACUAAAAUUGUCAAUCAAGUGGAUAAAGUAAUUCAACUAAAAUUGUUUAAACUCAUAUAAUAGACAGUCUAAACACAUUACACCUUUCAGUUGCAGGCUAUUUGGCUUGAAAUAUCUCUGAAAUUAAUCUUUCUUGCAGCCUUGAGGAGUGCUGAAACAACUGUUUUGAAUUAUGCACAAUCUACCAAUGCUGCCCUUAUGACUAAAGUGACAUUAUUUCUUAGCUCCUUUGCAAUCUAAAGAUUAUUUGUGAUGACAGAUGCAUUUUACAACACUACCAUAUCGCACAUUUGGGUGUGUGCAUUAACUGUCAACACUACCAUAUGGCACUAGAAUAAGUAAAAAAUACAUUAGAGAUGAUUCAGUGAAGUAAGAAGAGACCACUGGCAAAUAAUUCAUCACAGCCAUAUUAGAUAAACUAAUUCAAGGUCAAUCAUUAGGCACUUUAAAGCGAUUUUUGCAAGUUUAUGCAUGCAAUCUAAUAUCUUUUGAUCAAUUGAAUUGUUUGGAUCAAAUUAGAAAUUCUUUCCGCAAGAGCUGUUGUUCCUAAUUUUCCAAACCAUCAAAGACUUGGACCAACAAACUGAUAAAGAGCUUAUGCAUAACUGAAGGCAGGUUGUACAUGACUUUCGUAUCCAAGCAAUAGGUAACAUUCAAAAUAAUUGCAGAUCCAUUAAUUAAUGUGAAAGGGCAAUGGGUAGAGAGAUCAGAACAGUUAUUUAAAAGUCUCAAAAAAUUCAAUGGAUAAACCAUUCCACUAAUGUGAAGUUUGUCUCACCAGUCAUAUAAAACGCAUAAGAAGGAACAGUGCCUGACAAGAUAAACAUCUAUGGGA